UAUUUACUGCAAUGGUGAAAUGCGAAACCAACUGCCUGUGAAGUACAGAGUCUAAUGAAAACUGCACAUCAAUGGCGUCUGCGUUCGUGCUGGUGACGUCCAUCCGCCGAUGACCAAGAAGACAACCGCUGGUUGCCUGGCUUCAUAGAGGAGUGUUUCUGUCUCCCUGGUGGAUGAGAGAAUGCAUUGCAGUCUGAUGGAUCAACAACAGAUGUGAUGUCACAAGGAUAAUGGCUACCAAGGAUCAUGGAAGGAGGACGAGGGUGUCUUAUGGUCUGAGGAUGCAAGUUUCAAGUACGGAGUCCAAUGAAAACUGCACAUCAAUGGCGUCUGCGUUCGUGCUGGUGAUGUCCAUCCGCCGAUGACCAAGAAGACAACCGCUGGUUGCCUGGCUUCAUAGAGGAGUGUUCCUGUGUGGAUGAGAGAAUGCAUUGCAGUCCAAUGGAUCAACAACAGAUGUAAUAAUGAUGGCGCUCCCUUAGAGGUCAUCCGCUAGAUGGCGUCUAUACAAGAAUGCUACCAAUGGCCAUUGAUGUAACAUUCUAAGAUUGGCUGAAGGACACAGCACACAACCAGAAACAACUGAGCUUAAGAUGCUGAUGCUGGACGGGGCGUUGAAGGCGGCCAUCAGAGGUUCCCAAGAUGGCGUCAGUUAAAGACAACCUGUCGCUCAACUACUACUUACAUACAGGUUAUUGUGAUGACUACUUUUCUCCCAUCCUGUCAACAUGGACCAUGAAGAUGUGACAUCACAAA